GUAGUCUUUGCAUGAAGCACAGCUGGAAUUGAAAAUAUUUGCACAUUCCUUUGUCCGUUGUUGUGGACAAUACCAGAAACAGAACUGGACUUUUUCUCAAGGCUUUUGGUUCGGCGCCAGCAGUGUGUGAGUGGCAGUGACGAGAGCAAAGUCAGGAUGACUCCGCCCCCAUCCACAAGGCACAAGGGCUAACUGAACGGCUUAAUGAGGAGGGAAAUCAUAUGCUAUGGCCUUCACACUCACCAGAUCUCAACCCUGUUGUACACCUACGGUGGUACUUGGUACAAAUGUCUCGUUUUGCCGCCAUCGUCGCCAUCAGCUGUAACAUCGAAUCACGUCCACUGGAGACGCCUGUGUCUGUGAGGUGCUAAAGAUUCGACGUAGCAGACGUGAGAACAGGGAAGAAAAACCCUGCUAAAUCUCCCUUUCACUUUCUCUUCAUCCUCCUCUUCUUUCCCUGUAGCCACCUACAGUGAUAAUUCACCAAC